CCAGAAACAAGUGAGAAAAGCUUUCCUAUGGUGUUUGUGAAUAAUCUUCCUUCACUACUGCAUCAUCUUUAUAAUCUCUAAAAUAGUCUGACUGAUUCCUUGAUGUUCAGAAGAGAAUUCAUGUCUGCAGAAAACGACAGAUCAAACCUGAGGAACCGAGGUGACCAACAGUGAGAUAGCUGCUUCAGAGUUAGUUCAGAGUCAGCCAGAGGUUUGCAGGAGCUCAGGUAGCUAUGGGAAAGUCAGCAAGGUUAUGGUAUAGUCUAUGUAAUAGAUUAGUAGUGGACUUGUAAUGUAAUAUAAGGUAUUGUUCAGUAAUGUAAUGAGGAUUAGUAUUGUGCUUGGCCCUAAUGUAUGGUUAAUCCCUUUUGGUACA